rnacentral:rRNA from 1 species
GAGUUUGAUCUGGCUCAGAUUGAACGCUAGCGGGAUGCUUUACACAUGCAAGUCGAACGGCAGCACGGACUUCGGUCUGGUGGCGAGUGGCGAACGGGUGAGUAAUGUAUCGGAACGUGCCCAGUAGCGGGGGAUAACUACGCGAAAGCGUGGCUAAUACCGCAUACGCCCUACGGGGGAAAGGGGGGGAUCGCAAGACCUCUCACUAUUGGAGCGGCCGAUAUCGGAUUAGCUAGUUGGUGGGGUAAAGGCCUACCAAGGCGACGAUCCGUAGCUGGUUUGAGAGGACGACCAGCCACACUGGGACUGAGACACGGCCCAGACUCCUACGGGAGGCAGCAGUGGGGAAUUUUGGACAAUGGGGGCAACCCUGAUCCAGCCAUCCCGCGUGUGCGAUGAAGGCCUUCGGGUUGUAAAGCACUUUUGGCAGGGAAGAAAAGGCGCCGGCUAACACCUGGCGCUGCUGACGGUACCUGCAGAAUAAGCACCGGCUAACUACGUGCCAGCAGCCGCGGUAAUACGUAGGGUGCAAGCGUUAAUCGGAAUUACUGGGCGUAAAGCGUGCGCAGGCGGUUCGGAAAGAAAGAUGUGAAAUCCCAGGGCUUAACCUUGGAACUGCAUUUUUAACUGCCGGGCUAGAGUAUGUCAGAGGGGGGUAGAAUUCCACGUGUAGCAGUGAAAUGCGUAGAGAUGUGGAGGAAUACCGAUGGCGAAGGCAGCCCCCCUGGGGAUAAUACUGACGCUCAUGCACGAAAGCGUGGGGAGCAAACAGGAUUUAGAUACCCUGGUAGUCCACGCCCUAAACGAUGUCAACUAACCUGUUGGGGCCUUCGGGCCUUAGUAGCGCAGCUAACGCGUGAAGUUGACCGCCCUGGGGGAGUACGGUCGCAGAUUAAAACUCAAAGGGAAUUGACGGGGACCGCAACAGCGGUGGAUGAUGUGGAUUAAUUCGAUGCAACCGCGAAAAACUUUACCUACCCUUUGACAUUGUCUUGGAAAUCUCGAGAGCAUUCGGGGAGUGCCUCCGCAAGAGAACCGGAC